CCUACGGGUGGCAGCAGUGAGGAAUAUUGGUCAAUGGGCGGAAGCCUGAACCAGCCAAGUCGCGUGCGGGAUGACGGCCCUACGGGUUGUAAACUGCUUUUAUACGGGAAUAACGCGCGUGACGUGUACUGCUUUGUAUGUACCGUAUGAAUAAGGAUCGGCUAACUCCGUGCCAGCAGCCGCGGUAAUACGGAGGAUCCGGGCGUUAUCCGGAUUUAUUGGGUUUAAAGGGAGCGUAGGCGGGUCUUUAAGCGUGCGGUGAAAGUUUGUGGCUCAACCAUGAGAGUGCGGUGGAAACUGGAGAGCUUGAGUACGCUGAAGGCAGGCGGAAUGCGUGGUGUAGCGGUGAAAUGCUUAGAUAUCACGAAGAACCCCGAUUGCGAAGGCAGCCUGCCGCAGCGUGACUGACGCUGAUGCUCGAAAGCGUGGGGAUCGAACAGGAUUAGAUACCCGGGUAGUC
rnacentral:rRNA from 1 species